rnacentral:rRNA from 1 species
UACGUAGGGUGCGAGCGUUGUCCGGAAUUAUUGGGCGUAAAGAGCUCGUAGGCGGUGUGUCACGUCGGCCGUGAAAACCUACAGCUUAACUGUGGGCGUGCGGUCGAUACGGGCAUCACUGGAGUUCGGCAGGGGAGACUGGAAUUCCUGGUGUAGCGGUGAAAUGCGCAGAUAUCAGGAGGAACACCGGUGGCGAAGGCGGGUCUCUGGGCCGAUGACUGACGCUGGAGGAGCGAAAGCGUGGGGAGCGAACAGG